rnacentral:rRNA from 1 species
AAUUCCUGUACUAUCCUGUAACAGAACUGUGGGGACACAGGCAGAGAGCGUGAGCCGGGAAUGGAAAGACCGGUACAAGCGAGGUAGGAGAAGAGUUGGCAAAUCCGCUCUUUAAUCUGAAGACGUGAUGUGGACUGAAAAUAAGUAGGGAAGCACGUGAGCUGACUGUCAAGAAAAGCCGCUAUUGUUUGCAGGAUACCCGUACCGUAAACCGACACAGGUGGAUGAGGAGAGAAUCCUAAGGCCGACGGGAGAAGCAUUGUUAAGGAACUCGGCAAAAUGACUCCGUAACUUCGGGAGAAGGAGUGCCAGUAAGAUGGCCGCAGAGAAUUGGCCCAAGCAACUGUUUAGCAAAAACACAGGUCUAUGCAAAACCGAAAGGUGAGGUAUAUGGGCUGACGCCUGCCCGGUGCUGGAAGGUUAAGGGGAGAGGUUAGCGCAAGCGAAGCUUUGAACUUAAGCCCCAGUAAACGGCGGCCGUAACAAUAACGGUCCUAAGGUAGCGAAAUUCCUUGUCGGGUAAGUUCCGACCCGCACGAAAGGCGUAAUGAUUUGGGCACUGUCUCAACAAUGCACCCGGUGAAAUUGAAAUACCAGUGAAGAUGCUGGUUACCUGCGCCAGGACGGAAAGACCCCAUGGAGCUUUACUCCAGCUUGAUACUGGGAUUCGGUAUUGCAUGUACAGGAUGGGUGGGAGGCUAGGAAAUGGUAACGCCAGUUGCCAUGGAGCCAAUGUUGGGAUACCACCCUUGCAGUACUGGGUUUCUAACCAGCAGCCGUGAUCCGGCUGGGGGACAAUGUCAGGUGGGGAGUUUGACUGGGGCGGUCGCCUCCGAAAGGGUAUCGGAGGCGCUCAAAGGUUCCCUCAGAAUGGUUGGAAACCAUUCGAAGAGUGCAAAGGCAGAAGGGAGCUUGACUGCGACACCGACGGGUGGAGCAGGUACGAAAGUAGGACUUAGUGAUCCGGUGGUAUAAAGUGGGAUUGCCAUCGCUCAACGGAUAAAAGCUACCCUGGGAUAACAGGCUUAUCACUCCCAAGAGUUCACAUCGACGGAGUGGUUUGGCACCUCGAUGUCGGCUCAUCGCAUCCUGGGGCUGAAGUAGGUCCCAAGGGUUGGGCUGUUCGCCCAUUAAAGCGGUACGCGAGCUGGGUUCAGAACGUCGUGAGACAGUUCGGUCCCUAUCCGGCGUGGGCGUAAGAUAUUUGAGAGGAGCUGUCCUUAGUACGAGAGGACCGGGAUGGACUGGCCGCUGGUGUAUCUGUUGUCUUACCAAAGGCAUAGCAGAGUAGCCAAGCCGGGAAGGGAUAAACGCUGAAGGCAUCUAAGCGUGAAGCCCCCCUCAAGAUGAGAUAUCUCAUAACGUCAAGUUAGUAAGACCCCUUGAAGACGACGAGGUAGAUAGGGCAGAGGUGGAAGUGUGGUAACACAUGGAGCUGACUGUUACUAAUAGGUCGAGGGCAUAACCG